AUCUCAGGUGAUCCGCCUGCCUCGGCCUCCCAAAUUGCUGGGAUUACAGUUGUGAGCCACCGGGACCACCCAGGUGUCAGCCUUUUAGUGAGCCUGUGCCCUUGGGCUAUGAACUUUACCACUGGUUUUCAGUUUCUUCCCACUCUUAGGUGGGACAGGAGGGCUAGAGGGGGCUGGAGUUGGGUAUUUCUCUUCCCCCAGGUCAUUUAGCCUCUGGUAAAGUAGUUUUUCUUGAGGACAGGCCGGGUGAAAAGCAGAAUGUUCUGGUGUGUUUCAAAAUGGCUACAUUUCCCCUCCCCCUACUGUAAUUAGGAGGGGAUUAUUCUGGGAUCUUCACGGAGAACCCGGCAGAGCUGGAGGUGAAAUGCAUUACGGUGUAGGGCCCCCUAUGACUGAGGCCCCCUGGAGAUUUCAACUCUCAGACUCGUCUACAGGGAACCUCCAGCAAUUCUUCAGCUACUGUUCCGUCUUCCUGCCGUGGCUUUGGCGCCCAUGAGUUUCUGCUCUGCUUCUAACAGAGUCCACCUGAGUCAGACUCACCCAGGCCCUGUUACACUUGCGGGUUCCAGGACUCCACCGCAGACCGCCUGAUUCCAGGGCUCCCCCAGGGCCCCUGCUGACCAGCUCUUUUCCAAGGCUACACUCCACGGGAGGACUGAAGAACAUCUCAGGGAGGCAGCCACAGCCGCCACUGCGUGGGGCCCCAGCAAUGACAUGGUUUUGGACCUUUGUCUACAAAAUCUUCGAAUUGUUACUGGGAACAGAGGUGAGAGGUCCUCAGCCUGAUGUGGACUGUGGCGGCCGGUACUCGGGGGUCCGCUGGCUAGAGGAGGAGCCCCCUAAGUCUCAUCAGUGUGGAGGUCCCCCUGAGCGUUGGCCCCUGAUGGACUGAAUUCUGGGCCUUGGAAGCAGCACAGUUCCCAGACACUGCACUGCCUGGAGCCAGGGUAGACAAAGAUCCUGGGAAGGAAAAAGAAAGGAAGUGGAGUUGUUGGGAGGCCUGGCCCUGGCCUACAGAUUCCAAACCAGAGGCUCCCAUCCUGGAGUUAGGGCAGAAGAGCACCAGCAUUAUUAAACUUGAAACAAUUAUUUUAAAUUACUUUUGAAAAUACUUAUUUUUUAACCGUUAAUAACCAGAAGAGUUACAUUUGGAACACUUUCUAGAUCAGUUUUUAUUUAUUUAAAAAUUAUUUAUUUAUUUUUACAGAGAUGGGGUCUUGCUUUGUUGCCCAGGUUGGUCUUGAACUCCUGGCCUCCAGUGAUCCUCCCACCUCAGCCUCCCAAAGUGUUGGGAUUAUGGCAUGAGCCACUGUACCCAGCUUUGUAUCAGUUAUUAGAUGUUAGAAACUAGAGGCUUAAUUCUGGAAAGCAUAUCUUGACAGUAGUUUAAAUGUGAAGAAGUAUUUUUAGAAACAAAUUUUGGCUGAUGUGAACACAGAUUCAUUGUAGUAUCUGAUGUUGUCACAGUCUUCAAGAGAAUAAAAAACAACCAUUCGCCAUCCUUGAUAUGUGUUGAAACGCAUGCUGCUGUGUGUGCAAAUGAAGCCACUUUUAUACUUGUAUUAUUUUGCACCGACUGUCUAUUUUGAAUUUAAAUAAUCAUGCUUUGAUUCUUCAUAAGUUUUUACUUUAUGGAAUUGUUUGCA